AGUACGUUUACAGUAAAGAUGCCCCCGCCCCCCACCAGCAGAGCAACAAAAGCAUGAGCAGCAGGGAGAGGUGGAGGCACACUGAGUCACUGCCCGGCUCGGCUCCCGGUGCAGGGCGGUGCGGAGCCGAUGGCCGCUCUCCAUUUGCCUCCGGCUGCUGGGACUGGAAAAACAAGCGCCCAGAGUCUGCUGCCCGGGUCUGAGUGGGCAUGAGCAGAGGGGACUGUGCCCGGAGGCCCUGGGGCUCUGCGAUCCCUUUGGAGUCCGUGUGGAGCUCGACCCGUUCUCUCCCUGCCCUGAGUUAGUUUCAUUGUCUCCCCAGAAGCCAUCGACUCCCACUGGACACGAAGAACAACAGCACAAGUGAGUUGAGUGGAUUUGUCCCAGGCAGGGCCCCAAUCCAAGGCCCACCUAGGCCUCCGCAGAAAGCUGUGCUCCCAGCCCUGGCACAAGGACUUGCUGUGCUCGUCAGCCUCAGUCCAUUUCCUGCGGGCCAGAAGAUGCAGCUGCAAGACCGCUCUGUGCACCGCGGAAAUAGUCUCAUCUGAGCGAGGGGUGAAGAAGGGUGGGGCCUGGACUUGGAGGUCAGCCCUGCAGAGGUCAGCUCUGAUUCCUCCAGUCCCCAGCAGGCCCCUGUGUGCACAUGAGCCCCUGUGAGCCCCUGACCCGUGGAGUGGGAACAGUAGCAGCUCUGUGUCACACUGUCAGGGUCCCAGCAGCAGUGGGUGGCACCUUCACCUGCAGCAAGGACUCCACACCAAACUGGCUCCUGGUCCCUUUGAUGUGGCCAGCAGACUCAGGUACAAGUGCAAGAGACUCUUUGAGACACAGACAGAAAACUGAAUUGUUGGAAUAAACUGCGUGUGAACAUCUGAAGUUUAUAGAAAUCACCAGCUGCUCGCUGGAGGAGCUGCACCAACUUACACUCCUCUCAGCAGCGUACGGGGCUCCCUGAGCCACUCCAUCCCCACCCAAGGGUGCUUCUGGCUUCUCAGCACCGGCAAUGAGAUGAGCAUGAAGGGGCAGCUUGGGGUGGCUUUGCUUUUGCUGUGCUGUUCACUGAAGAGACUGCUUCCACGUGUCCGGUGGU